GUGCUUGGCUGGCACCGAAGCCCACGGCGAAGCAGACCCGCCCGUGGAAGACUGAGGUAGUUCACGCCGUGCGAGACGUAAGGCGGAGCGGACGCCAACCAGGCAUGGAGCGAGUUAUUAAGACUGCCCGGGAAAACCGACCGCAAGCGUACCGGUUAGCGGCGAGAACAAAGAGAAUCAACCGUCCCUACAACCAGCGUUGCGGAACGAACUUCCAACGGUGCCGGACGCUCCGCCUCCGUAUCCGCAGCGACCAUUAUAUCCUUCCUUGCGAAACUGCACGGGGGGGGAGGGCGGUUGCCCCGCAACGGGAGACGCGGCGUCAGCAGCACCCACGGCAGGAAGGAAGGAGGUGAUUGGUGCGGCGGGAAAGAACGCCCCGCCUACCGCCCCCGUCCCGCUUACUGAUUGGUUGAGGGUGAGACAGGAAGUUGAGGACAGGGGCCUGGCGGUGGGGGCGUACCCGGUUGUGGUCGGGGACCAGGGCCCGACGUGGGUGCCUUUAGACCCGGAGGGCGUUAUUCGCUUCUUAGAGGCGGUAGAGAAAAAGGGACUGAGGUCACCGUCAACGUUGGAUGCGCUGGAAGCGCUCACAGCCUUCGGGCCUAUGCUCCCGCAUGAUAUAGUCAACCUCAUGCGGAUGGCGCUUAAGCCGGUGCAAUACGUUCUGUGGGAGCAAGAGUGGGGGUCUGAGUGUAGGAGGGUGUCGGGGUUGGCUGAGGGGGACCCGACUCACCCCGCUCACGGCACAGAUGUAGCCAGGCUAACGGGUGCGGCGGCCGGGAUGGCCACUCCUCACGGCCAGCUAACCCGGUUACGACCCGGAGAGCUGAAGGCCGCUACGGACGCCAUGAUCGACGCGUUCGAAAAGCUCGCGUGUUACGCCGAGCCCGCAACUCCCUGGGCAGACGUCGUCCAGGGGCCCGCCGAAUCCUUCCAGGAAUUCGCUGACCGAUUGAUAAGAGCCGUAGAAGGGUCGGAUUUGCCCAGGGCGGCCCACGAUCCCGUUAUCAUGGAUUGCCUGGAACGAAAGUCCCGCGAGGACGUUAAAGCUCUCUUACGGUCGGCGCCCGAUAGGUUGAGCACGCCGGGAGAGAUGAUCGAAGAGCGCCGCAGGCGGAGGAACCCGCGAAGGGCCCCUGCUACCACUGCGGCGAACGUGGUCAUGUGAAAGCGCAAUGCCCCAAGAGGAAAAAGAAGUCGGUUAGCUGCCAGUUUUGCGGAAAGCGAGCACACACCGCUCGCCAGUGCCGACACUUGAAAGCGCUGUUGCAGGGAAAGGGCUCGGGGAGCGGCUCCGCGGCCCAGGCUCCCUCCCUUCCAAAUACGGAUGGGCCCGGCGGCUGGGGUUGGGCGGGGCCGCGUGUGACGCCCACGGGUCCGCCUACGCCGCCCGUUCCCCGCCCAUCGUGGCAUUAACCCUUCGUACAGGAGAGAGCCCUUUGGUCAAGGUCCUUGCAUCCUGCCUUGACCUUCCUUCUGACCAUUGCGGACCUCGUUCCACCGCCUUUGUUGCAUCGGUUGAUUCAGGGGCCGAUGUUACUGUCGUCUCCGAGAAUGAUUGGCCUGAAGGAUGGCCAACCGGACCCCCUCAGCUCAUCAGAGGGGCGGGAGGCACUAUAAAUACACGCAAAUCUUUAGCCAAGUUGGAAAUUAUUGUGGUCGCCCGUGAUGGAACAUGGGAGAAACCCGCUCUGCUUGUUCCAUUGGUGGCGAAAGUCCCCGGGACCCUUCUGGGCCGAGAUUUACAAAUUUAUAGUUAGGGCCACUGCCUGCCAAUUGUCUAUCGCUCACGCUACCCCGCUGCGAUGGAGGCAGGACGCGCGCCCCGUCUGGGUAAAUCAGCGGCCCGUUCCUCAAGAAAAGCUCGUCGUGCUUAAACAAUUAGUUCCCCGGGAAUGUCAGUUAGGAUGCAUAGAGCCUUCCCUCCGUCAAUGGAAUGCCCCGAUCUUUGUGAUAAAGAAGCGCUCGGGUCCUUACCGCUUGCUGCAUGCCUUGCGUGCGGUCAACGCUGAAUUGAUACUGUUGGACCAGUGCAACUUGGGGGCCCGAUAUUGUGAGCCGUACCUAAAGGAUGGCCCCUGGUGGCCAUCGAUCUUCAAGAUUGCUUUUUCUCGAUUCCUUUAGCAGAACGGGACCGAGAAGCGCUUCUUCCGCACAAACUUUACCGU
rnacentral:lncRNA from 1 species